CUGCCACAAGCUUGCGCUAGAGACCGAGAAGCUCAUCAAAGGAAUGGCAGAUCAUCACCACCAGCAUGAUGAGGAGGAGCGCGGACACUCCAGAGACGAUGAGGAACGUCUUGCUCUGAAUCCCAUCUUCAAUACCCGGGGUUCUGAUCAUCACCACCAGCAUGAUGAGGAGGAGCGCGGACACUCCAGAGACGAUGAGGAACGUCUUGCUCCGAAUCACAUCUAAAAAACCUAGGGUUUUAGUUCCUGUGGAGCAGAUAAUAAAUAGGUCAAUGAUAUAUCUAUAUAUAUAUAUAGAUGUUCACAAUAUAUUCGUAUUUGGGA
ensembl:lncRNA